rnacentral:rRNA from 1 species
UACGAAGGGGGCUAGCGUUGCUCGGAAUCACUGGGCGUAAAGGGUGCGUAGGCGGCCCUGUAAGUCCGUUGUGAAAGUCAAAGGCUCAACCUUUGAAUGCCGAUGGAUACUGCAGGGCUAGAGUCCGGAAGAGGCGAGUGGAAUUCCAGGUGUAGCGGUGAAAUGCGUAGAUAUCUGGAGGAACACCGGUGGCGAAGGCGGCAUCCUGGACCAAUACUGACGCUGAGGAGCGAAAGCCAGGGGAGCAAAGCGGG